GCUAGAAAGGGUUCCUCCAGAGCUGGCACAGAUGGCCUCGUUAGAGCAGCUUUACCUCCGACACAACAAGCUCCGCUGCCUCCCAGAACUCCCAGCCUGUAAACUGCUCAAGGAGCUCCAGGCGGGCAAUAAUCAAAUUGAGCUUCUGGGACCAGAGCAUUUGAAGCACCUGAAUGCUAUCAGUGUCUUAGAGCUGAGCGAGAACAAGCUGAAAUCACUGCCUGAUGAAAUCACUGCAGGGCCUUGAAAGGCUCACCAACAAUGACAUCAGCAGGUUUUGUGACAGUAUUGAAAGGAUAACCUGCAGUGUAACUGGCGUUUCGACACUGCUAAGUUGGAUU